GACAGAGGGUGCAAACGUUGCUCGGAAUUACUGGGCGUAAAGCGCGUGUAGGCGGUUCCGCAAGUCAGGUGUGAAAGCCCAGGGCUCAACCCUGGAAGUGCACUUGAUACUACGGAGCUUGAGUACUGAAGAGGAGAGCGGAAUUCCCGGUGUAGAGGUGAAAUUCGUAGAUAUCGGGAGGAACACCAGUGGCGAAGGCGGCUCUCUGGGCAGAUACGUGACGCUGAGGUGCGAAAGCGAUGGGGAGCAAACAGGGAUUAAGAUGAUCC
rnacentral:rRNA from 1 species